GUCUUGGCUGAACUUCUUCUUGGUCAGCCACUGUUUCCUGGGGAAAGUGGUGUUGAUCAGCUGGUGGAAAUUAUCAAGGUUCUGGGAACACCAACCAGAGAAGAAAUUAGGUGCAUGAAUCCAAAUUACACUGAAUUUAAGUUCCCUCAGAUUAAAGCUCACCCAUGGCACAAGAUAUUUCACAAGCGAAUGCCCCCUGAAGCAGUGGAUCUUGUAUCAAGGCUGCUGCAGUAUUCACCGAAUCUACGUUGCAAUGCUUUGGAGGCAUGUGCUCAUCCUUUCUUUGAUGACUUGAGAAACCCCAAUGCAUGCUUGCCUAAUGGACAAGCACUACCUCCUUUGUUCAAUUUUACAGCUCA
rnacentral:misc_RNA from 1 species